AUGGAGUACAGAACCUGUCGCCGUACUCGGAAGUUCGUCGUUCUUGCCGCAAACCAAAAUCAGGAGCAGGACUUCCCUACUCACACGAAGGAGCUCACCUUUCGAAGAGAAUGGCCACCAUUGCGGCAAGUGCGGGAGGUCGAGGUACUUGACGGCGAGAUGAUGUGGGGCAAGGCCGGUUCGGAGGCCGCCAUCAUAGAUGAAGCCCCAGCAUGCGGGCUCGUCGUGACCGGAGUCUGCGGCAGGUCUUCCAAGGACAGCGACUGCAGGUUCCUCACCGCGUGCCACCGUCGCGCCAGUCCCAGCCUCAACCACACCUUCUGCUCUAUCCAGAACUACUCCAUAUGUCAAAUUUGUCAAAUUUGCCGCCGCCUGCCUCCUCCCGUACUCGCGCCCUCUCUCCUCUUCACAGUCGCGGCUCCCCACCCUCUUCCUCCCUUCCCCGCGCCGCCAUCUCCACCUCCUCCCCUGCGGCCGCCACCUCUGGCUCCUCCCCUCUCGCCGCUCGUCUUCCUCCUCCCGUAUCCCAUCCCCGUCGCGCCCCCCUCCUCCCCACGAAAUCGCAAGCGGCCCUGCCUUGUGCUAGCCACUCGUGGUCAUGAAGGGCGGCGGAGCCAGGAGCGGUGGAUUGAUGCGGAUGCGACUGCGGCUCACCCUGUAGAGAGGAUCGAGGACGGCAUUGGGUGGUUGCUCUGGAUCCCAUCAUCAGAAGGGAAGGGAAAAGAAGAGGGUGAGCGAGCAAGUCAGGCGGCGGCCAUGGUGCUCGCAGAUCCGCCGGCGCCGUCGUCCGACCUCGGCCUCCGAGUGCUUCUGCUCUGCGGGCGUGACGGUACGGGCUGCCUGCUCCGCGCCCAUGCCAUGGCUUGCUUGGGACACCGUCCUCCCACCUGCUCCAACCCUAAUCCUAGCGUUUCUGCUGCUGGUCAAGGUACGACCAUUUCAAUUUGCUCUUGGCCCCUCCCCUCCGCUCAUGAUGUUGCUGCUUUUGGUCACGCAGGUGCUGCACACUUGCUUGAAAAGUUGAUAACGGAUCUCCACGCUGAUGGAGUACAUAUUUGUUGCUUUGCUUGGUUUGUUGGCCAUAUUCUAACCUAUGUCCGUGUAUGCAUAGAGGUGCUAGGCAAGACACUUUGUGCAUUGGGGAAAAAUGAGGAAGCUUUGGUUCCUUGGGAGCAAGGACAUGAGAUUGCUGUCCGUGACACAAUUGACCUGAAACAAUAG
rnacentral:rRNA from 1 species